rnacentral:rRNA from 1 species
CUGUUAUCUUCGUUGAUUAUCUGAGCGUCUUAUUUAAUAAGUCAAAACUUUCAACAACGGAUCUCUUGGUUCUGGCAUCGAUGAAGAACGCAGCGAAAUGCGAUAAGUAAUGUGAAUUGCAGAAUUCAGUGAAUCAUCGAAUCUUUGAACGCACAUU